ACAAUAUUAUUACCGGGGUUAAAUAAUGCCAGAACAAUUCACGGAAAGGGAAACAUUCAAUUAAUCCAGUCUGGGCAUUGAACCUGGUUUCCUAAAAGCAGAGCUAAAAGAAGAAUGUGCUCCACAUGGAAGUCAAAUUUGAAGCCAACAAACUUGUACUAUAUUACCAGUAAAUGGAAAACAUAGUGAGGAACACAGUGACUUAUACUGGAAGAAGCCAGCCUUUGUGCUGUGAGAACACUCAAUAGUCAUGUUGGAAGACUCACUGCUGAGUAGUCAAUUCUUGUCAACAGCCAACCCCACCUCCUUCUUAUCAGCCUCAUAGAGUCCGAGGGUACUUUGAAGAGCCCCAAAGAACCCCAUAUCAAAGUGAGUCUUCGUUUUCUGAUACAACUCCGUGAAGACAUCCCAGCACAGAACAGCGUGCAUAUUCCGUCUUUCUUCCAAGGUGGCCAGAGGACGAGAGUUGGAUUUCCUUAACUGCUGUUUCCCCUGGAGCCGAGCCAUGUUCUUGGCGUGUACAAGAAGUAUAUACAAGCAUAUAGUUGAAUGAAUAUGCUGCAAAUAAACAUGUUUCCACUCUU